CUGAGCCCGCCGUGAGGCGCGCUGAUCGCGGUGCAGAGGUCAGCACAGGGCAUAGUAGGGAGGUGUCUGCCAAACGAAGGCC
rnacentral:ncRNA from 1 species